rnacentral:lncRNA from 1 species
GCUGAUUUUUCUCCAAACAGGUCUGCAGCCCUGAAGACCCAAAGCACAACAGCAAAGCAGAGGGGCCAUCAACCAAUAUUAAUAUCAAUAUUGCAAAAUUGACAUCUUUGACAGUUGAACUCUCCACGUUGCAGAGAGAAACUAUGGAGAAAGGUUUGUCGUGUUGCUGCUGGCUGAAGCUCAUCUGUGCUGGCUGGAGAAACCCUGCAGAACUGCCAGGAUGAGCAGAGCUGCAGCCAGAGAUGCUGCUUCGGCCUGAGAGGGGGAAUGGUAAAGGAAAUAUCCAAGCAGAGACAGAUCAUCAAAUCGCAUCAUGCAGCUGCCCUGCUCUCAUUUAUACAGCAAAACAAAAAAGACGCUUUGGCCACAGGGCCUACAAAGGCACAUGCAUCAAUGUGUAGAGAUGUCAGAAUGAUGGGCCGCCGCAGCACAGCGCCCCGAGCAGUUAGGGGCUCGCUGCCUUGCUCAAGGGCACCUCAGCGGUUCCCAGAAGGUGAACUGGCACCUCUCCAGAUACCAGUCCACACGCCGUACUUGGUCCGACUGGCGACCCUAAGGUUCCCAAGCCAAGUCCCUGUGGACUGAGCUACUGCAGCCCUGCUAUCUGCAUUUAAAAUGUUAAAGAUGUACUUAAUAAAUAAGUCUACAGUGAUUUGUAGUUAAGUGAC